rnacentral:rRNA from 1 species
AGAGUUUGAUCAUGGCUCAGGACGAACGCUGGCGGCGUGCUUAACACAUGCAAGUCGCGCGAUUCUCGAAGUUCGGGGUUGGGAGUUCGAACCUCGAACUUCGAACCUCGAACUUCGAGAAUAGCGGCGGACGGGUGAGUAACACGUGGAUAACCUACCCAUUAGACCGGGAUAACACCGGGAAACUGGUGCUAAUACCGGAUAAGCUCUUUAGAGUAAAAGCCUUAAAGAGGAAAGGGGAAACUCACUAAUGGAUGGGUCCGCGUCCUAUUAGCUAGUUGGUAGGGUAACGGCCUACCAAGGCGACGAUGGGUAGCCGGCCUGAGAGGGUGACCGGCCACACUGGGACUGAGACACGGCCCAGACUCCUACGGGAGGCAGCAGUGGGGAAUAUUCCGCAAUGGGGGAAACCCUGACGGAGCAAUGCCGCGUGAGUGAAGAAGGCCUUUGGGUCGUAAAACUCUGUCUUGAGGGACGAAAAAAAUGACGGUACCUCAAAAGAAAGCCCCGGCUAACUACGUGCCAGCAGCCGCGGUAAAACGUAGGGGGCGAGCGUUGUCCGGAAUUACUGGGCGUAAAGGGCGUGUAGGCGGCCUGUGUAGUCAAGUGGUGAAAACCCGGGGCUUAACUUCGGGAUGGCCCUUGAAACCAACAGGCUUGAGGACAGGAGAGGGGAGUGGAAUUUCCCGGUGUAGCGGUGAAAUGCGUAGAUACCGGAA